GACGAACGCUGGCGGCGUGCCUAAUACAUGCAAGUCGGACGCAGUUGCGAACGGGUGAGUAACGCGUAGGUACCUGCCUAUUAGAGGGGGAUAACUACUGGAAAUGAUAGCAAAUACCGCAUACUAGUAGAUGGACCUGCGUUGUUUUAGCUAGUGGGUAGGGUAAUGGCCUACCUCGGCGACGUUCCAUAGCUGACUGGAGAGAGUGAUCAGUCACACUGUAACUGGAGCACGGUCGAAACUCCUACGGGAGGCAGCAGUGGGGAGUAUGGGACAAGGGGCCAAAGCCUGAUCCAGCCAUGCCGCGUGUGGAAAGAAGGUCUUCGGAUUGUAAGGCACUGUAAGUUGGGAGGCGUUAGCUGCAGAAAAAGCACCGGCUAACUUCGUGCCAGCAGCCGCGGUAAUUC
rnacentral:rRNA from 1 species